rnacentral:rRNA from 1 species
UACGUAGGGGGCUAGCGUUGUCCGGAAUCAUUGGGCGUAAAGAGCGUGCAGGCGGUCCGGUAAGUCCGCUGUGAAAGCCGGGGGCUCAACCCUCGAAUGCCGGUGGAUACUGUCGGGCUAGAGUGCGGAAGAGGCAAGUGGAAUUCCUGGUGUAGCGGUGAAAUGCGCAGAUAUCAGGAGGAACACCUAUUGCGAAGGCAGCUCGCUGGGACGUAACUGACGCUGAGACGCGAAAGCGUGGGGAGCAAACAGG